GAUGAACGCUGGCGGCGUGCCUAAUACAUGCAAGCCGAGCGAACAGACGAGGAGCUUGCUCCUCUGACGUUAGCGGCGGACGGGUGAGUAACACGUGGAUAACCUACCUAUAAGACUGGGAUAACUUCGGGAAACCGGAGCUAAUACCGGAUAAUAUAUUGAACCGCAUGGUUCAAUAGUGAAAGACGGUUUUGCUGUCACUUAUAGAUGGAUCCGCGCCGCAUUAGCUAGUUGGUAAGGUAACGGCUUACCAAGGCAACGAUGCGUAGCCGACCUGAGAGGGUGAUCGGCCAGACUGGAACUGAGACACGGUCCAGACUCCUACGGGAGGCAGCAGUAGGGAAUCUUACGCGAAGGGCGAAAGCCUGACGGAGCAACGCCGCGUGAGUGAUGAAGGUCUUCGGAUCGUAAAACUCUGUUAUUAGGGAAGAACAAAUGUGUAAGUAACUAUGCACGUCUUGACGGUACCUAAUCAGAAAGCCACGGCUAACUACGUG
rnacentral:rRNA from 1 species